rnacentral:lncRNA from 1 species
AACCUGGAGCAUCAAUCAGCCUGUUGUUCUGGAAUCCUGUAGUUUCUUUGGGCGUCUUGAUCAGGCCUGAGUCCCUUGCAAUUUUGAAGGAAGGUGAGAGGAAGGCCUCCCAAGUUGAAGACUGAAUCCUUGUUUCUUCCAGCUGUCAGGACCCUGGUAACUGCAGUGCUAUUCUGCUUCUAUCGGUUAACAUGGUCUCCUCCUUCCUUCACCCUUAACCUUCCCCUCCCUCGUCUUAAAAAAGAAAAUGAAAAGAAAAAAAGAGAGGAAAAACUAUGACCUUCUUAGAAACCAAACUGUUAACCACAAAUCUCUUCAAGGUUAGCCCUACGGGCUAAAAACUGAACCACAGAAAGAAUCUGACUUCAAAAUAUCAGUCUUAGUUGCAGACAGAUAAAAGCCAUCCUUUCAAUCCAG